AUGAGAACUCCCCUGCAAGCAUUCUUCUACCCCCUUCCAGCAGUGGGCCUUGAGCAGCAUCCCAGGCCUACAGCCCAGACGGGAGCAGUGGCGGAUGCAGAAUUGCCAUCACUUUUCCUAGGCCAGUGCCUCAGGGCUCAGACCACCUGCACAGCACCUGCAGGCAAAUUAUCAGAGAACAGUGGACUGGACAAGGGAGCAAACAGAAAAGGCAACGAGGGCCCUGAGCUGCAGCCAGACAUGGUCAGACUGACCUUGAGAAAAGAACACAGAAGGGGAGAAAGAAUAAUGCGAGGAAAAGAGGCUGACCACAAAAUGCUGAGAAGUGAACUACCUCCGGCUUCCUUCGAAACCUCCUCCCAGCCCCAGAGGAAUGCAUUCGGAAGGCCAAGUGUCUCAGGAAGCAGCUGCCACGCUAAAUACUUCUAGUUGGGGAUCGGUCCUGAGACGGUGGGAAAGUUGAACUGGUUUGGAAAAUGUUAGUGAAAUUGCUGUCGAAACCAGCUUAGCAAAGAGCUGCCACUCAGCUCAUGUUUCAGUGGCUUAGAGCAGAUAAGAAACCCCCCUCACAGCUCAGAGGCAAGGAGCUUUUAGCACUUGAUAAGUCAAAUCGUGUUUAGGGUAAAUAAGCGAAGCUGCAGUGCUUCGUUGCUUUGGAACUAGGGUGAUUUUGUUUCUCCUGGAAGAUGGCAGUCGAUUUUUUGCAGUACACCCAAGGGUUGCAAUGUCAGGAAAAGAUGUCUGCAUUCAUACAUUUGAGUACUGCAGAGUUAGAGAGGGAUUUCACGCCUGCUGUAGUCUCCAAGGUUGUGUUCUGGUACAGCUUCAGGAGCAAGGCUGCAUCCAAACGGGGAGAAUGUGUGUUCAUUUACAGGAGCAGCAGAACUGAUGGCGUUAGCAGUUUGCUCUGUUGCCCAUCUUGUGGCCAGAAAACCUUGGUUAGUGCAAGUGCAAACGUUGGGCUUAAAAGGGCAAUAAAAAGACUUGAUUUAGCA
rnacentral:lncRNA from 1 species